AAAGACGAUGACGUUGAUAGGCCGGGUGUGUAAGCGCAGCGAUGCGUUGAGCUAACCGGUACUAAUGAACCGUGAGGCUUAACCUU
rnacentral:rRNA from 1 species